rnacentral:rRNA from 1 species
GACGAAGGGGGCUAGCGUUGUUCGGAAUUACUGGGCGUAAAGCGCGUGUAGGCGGUUAUCCAAGUCGGGUGUGAAAGCCUUGAGCUCAACUCAAGAAAUGCACUCGGUACUGGGUGACUAGAGGACCGGAGAGGAUAGUGGAAUUCCUGGUGUAGCGGUGAAAUGCGCAGAUAUCAGGAGGAACACCGGUGGCGAAGGCGGUUCUCUGGGCCUUACCUGAACACUGGAGGAGCGAAAGCGUGGGGAGCGAACAGGA